AAUAUUGGACAAUGGAGGAAACUCUGAUCUAGUGACGCCGCGUGAAGGAAGAAGGUCUUCGGAUAGUAAACUUAUUUUGUUAGGGAAGAAAAAAACGAUAGUACCUGAAGAAGAAGGACCGUCAAACUACGUGUCAGCAGCCGCGGUAAUACGUAGGGUCCAAGCGUUAGCCGGAAUUACUGGGGGUAAAGGGCGAGUAGACGGUAAUUCAAAUUAGAUGUGAAAACUCAGGGCUCAACUUUGAGACUGCAUCUGAAACUGAGUGACUAGAGUGCAAAAGAGGGAAGGGGAAUUCCUAGUGUAUCGGUUAAAUGCAUAGAUAUUAAGAGGAACACCAGUGGCGAAGGCGACUUACUGGGCUGUAACUGACGUUGAGGCGCGAAAGUGUGGGGGGCAAACAGG
rnacentral:rRNA from 1 species